CCUACGGGAGGCUGCAGUGGGGAAUAUUGGACAAUGGGGGGAACCCUGAUCCAGCCAUGCCGCGUGUGUGAAGAAGGCCCUCGGGUUGUAAAGCACUUUCAGUGAGGAAGAACGCCUGGUGGUUAAUACCCAUCAGGAAAGACAGCACUCACAGAAGAAGCACCGGCUAACUCCGUGCCAGCAGCCGCGGUAAUACGGAGGGUGCGAGCGUUAAUCGGAAUUACUGGGCGUAAAGCGCGCGUAGGUGGCUUGAUAAGCCGGUUGUGAAAGCCCCGGGCUCAACCUGGGAACGGCAUCCGGAACUGUCAAGCUAGAGUGCAGGAGAGGAAGGUAGAAUUCCCGGUGUAGCGGUGAAAUGCGUAGAGAUCGGGAGGAAUACCAGUGGCGAAGGCGGCCUUCUGGACUGACACUGACACUGAGGUGCGAAAGCGUGGGUAGCAAACAGGAUUAGAUACCCUAGUAGUC
rnacentral:rRNA from 1 species